GACGAACGCUGGCGGCGUGCUUAACACAUGCAAGUCGAACGGAAAGGCCCUGCUUUUGUGGGGUGCUCGAGUGGCGAACGCGUGUGUAACACGUGAGUAACCUGCCCUUGACUUUGGGAUAACUUCACGAAACUGCGGCUAAUACCGGAUAGGAGCUCCUGCUGCGUGGUGGGGGUUGGAAAGUUUCGGCGGUUGGGGAUGGACUCGCGGCUUAUCAGCUUGUUGGUGGGGUAGUGGCUUACCAAGGCUUUGACGGGUAGCCGGCCUGGGAGGGGGACCGGCCACAUGGGGACUGAGAUACGGCCCAGACUCGUACGGGAGGCAGCAGUGGGGAAUAUUGCACAAUGGGCGGAAGCCUGAUGCAGCAACGCCGCGUGCGGGAUGACGGCCUUCGGGUUGUAAACCGCUUUCGCAUGUGACGAAGCGGGAGUGACGGUAAUGGGUAAAGAAGCACCGGCUAACUACGUG
rnacentral:rRNA from 1 species